GACGUAGGGCGCGAGCGUUGUCCGGAUUUAUUGGGCGUAAAGAGCUCGUAGGCGGCUUGUCGCGUCGGCCGUGAAAACUCACAGCUCAACUGUGAGCCUGCGGUCGAUACGGGCAGGCUAGAGUUCGGUAGGGGAGACUGGAAUUCCUGGUGUAGCGGUGAAAUGCGCAGAUAUCAGGAGGAACACCGGUGGCGAAGGCGGGUCUCUGGGCCGAUACUGACGCUGAGGAGCGAAAGCGUGGGGAGCAAACAGG
rnacentral:rRNA from 1 species